rnacentral:rRNA from 1 species
UGUGGGUUAGUCCGCACGAGCGCACCCUAUCCUUAGUUGCUAGCAGGUAAUGCUGAGAACUCUAAGGAGACUGCCGGUGAUAAACCGGAGGAAGGUGAGGACGACGUCAAGUCAUCAUGGCCCUUACGAGUAGGGCUACACACGUGCUACAAUGGAGGAUACAGACGGACGCUAAGCCGCGAGGUGGUGCUAAUCCUAGAAAGUUCUUCGUAGUCCGGAUUGGAGUCUGCAACUCGACUCCAUGAAGUCGGAAUCGCUAGUAAUCGCGAAUCAGCAUGUCGCGGUGAAUACGUUCUCGGGUCUUGUACACACCGCCCGUCACACCAUGGAAGUGGAUUGCACCAGAAGUAGAUAGUCUAACCUUCGGGAGGGCGUUUACCACGGUGUGCUUCAUGACUGGGGUGAAGUCGUAACAAGGUAGCCGUAGGGGAACCUGUGGCUGGAUCACCUCCUU